AAUAUGUGUAUAUGAAUUGGUUAGAAUGAUUUUCUGAAUAAAAGAGUUAAAUUUAAAUGUGUUUAGAUUAAGAACCAAAGAAAACGAAAUUAGAUCGGGGAAAGUUGAAAGUCAUUGAAUAGCCGUUCAUUUUCGAUCAAAAUAAAAAUAAAUGUGUUAAAUUGAAUUAUUAUUGCUUAUAUGAUAUUUGAAUUAUGGUGAAUGGAUAUGAGA
rnacentral:lncRNA from 1 species